GUGAGGAAAUUUUUUAUUUACUUUUGUACCCACAUGCACCUGAGCAGACACACAGUAUUCCUGAAAUAGACACACAGCGGAGCCUAUGAUUCCUGAAAUAACAGUUCUGGUCACUGAGCAUCUAAAUCCUAGAUCAAGAACCUGCCUUGAACAAAUAUAGUUUUGGAUGUGUGUAAAGAACAGUGGGGACAAUAAGGCUUGCCUCUCCUAAAAGACCUCAGACCUGCUCAUGAUCCAGCCACUGUCCAGCUCUGGAGGAGCCAGCCCAGACUAGAGUCAAUGUCAGUUUUGUCCAGUGCUCUUCAGCUUGGUAAAUAGCUUCAAUAUCAUCCCUGCUAAGACACGGUCUGCAAUAAGUGCUGAGCGCUCCCUUUCCUUGGCCUUCCAUUUUCUGAGUCAUUCUGAGUAUCUGCCAUGAGUUAACCUACAUGAUUGCUGGCUGCAUGACCCCUUCCCUCUUUAUGCUCAAACAAAUCAAGGGAUGGAUGAGUUUUGAAUGUCCAGCCUGUGGCAGUUGCUCAAUAAAUGUUUGUUGAGUUGAAUUCAGCUAGAAUGUUCCAUUUUCAUGACAAAGCAUCCCAGGGUGAUUACUGCAGCUGUGGAAGCCUUCUGAAAAAUUGAAUCCUUUGGGCUCCUUAGGAGCUCCUGAGGAGGAACAAAGGAACUGAAUGUAGUAAUGCAUUCAGGCCAAGGAAUCAAUCAGAGACUGGCUGAGUAUUACCUAACCGAAAGUUGAUGAGAGUCUGAAGGACCCUCGUCCACACUUGGAAUAUUUUGCUGGUUCAUUUAUAGCAAAUCUUUGGCACCAGACCAUACAAUGUGUAGCUACAGUUCACAGGUUUAAAUAUGCUUCAGCAGCUACCGAGCAGCGUUUUUAAAAAGCAGAAAGGAAACUUGAUAAUUAAAGAUUCAUAAAACAAUCUAGGAAAUCAACAUGGAAAGACCAUCAGUGGUUCUGAAAACUGAACACCAUGUAUAAAUACUGUAUCUCAGAAGGUCCCAUCAAGUCCAAUAGCAGCAGGAGCUGAGAUCCAAGCCUUCAAUAUGAGUCUUUGGAAGAAAUCCACUAUCCGUAUUAUUACAAACAGUGAUGUUAUAGCAUGGCCCAUUGAAACAAGAAAUGCCUGAGUGACAUGCUAAUCCUAAAGGGCUGUCCAAGGAACUUAUUAAUCAAAUAAAGCUUAUUACUAAAG
rnacentral:lncRNA from 1 species